CCUACGGGGAGCAGCAGUGGGGAAUAUUGCACAAUGGGCGCAAGCCUGAUGCAGCCAUGCCGCGUGUGUGAAGAAGGCCUUCGGGUUGUAAAGCACUUUCAGCGGGGAGGAAGGCGGUGAGGUUAAUAACCUCAUCGAUUGACGUUACCCGCAGAAGAAGCACCGGCUAACUCCGUGCCAGCAGCCGCGGUAAUACGGAGGGUGCAAGCGUUAAUCGGAAUUACUGGGCGUAAAGCGCACGCAGGCGGUCUGUCAAGUCGGAUGUGAAAUCCCCGGGCUCAACCUGGGAACUGCAUGCGAAACUGGCAGGCUAGAGUCUUGUAGAGGGGGGUAGAAUUCCAGGUGUAGCGGUGAAAUGCGUAGAGAUCUGGAGGAAUACCGGUGGCGAAGGCGGCCCCCUGGACAAAGACUGACGCGCAGGUGCGAAAGCGUGGGGAGCAAACAGGAUUAGAUACCCUAGUAGUC
rnacentral:rRNA from 1 species